GGCCUCCCUCUGUGGGGCGAUCAAUUGUGGGGCCCCCAGAUCGAUCGCCCCCGCAGAGGGAGGCC
rfam:Myotis brandtii contig174894, whole genome shotgun sequence.